rnacentral:rRNA from 1 species
UACAUAGGGUGCAAGCGUUGUCCGGAUUUACUGGGCGUAAAGAGCGUGUAGGUGGUGGAAUAAGUUAAACUUGAAAGACUCUUGGCUCAACCAGAGUUUGGGUUUAAUACUGUUUCGCUAGAGAUUGGGAGAGGAAAGUAGAACUAACAGUGUAGCGGUGAAAUGCGUAGAUAUUGUUAGGAAUACCCGUGGCGAAGGCGGCUUUCUGGACCAAUUCUGACACUGAGACGCGAAAGCGUGGGGAUCAAACAGG